GGAUGGAUGUCUGAGCGGUUGAAAGAGUCGUUCUUGAAAACCGAAGUAUUGAUAGGAAUACCGGGGGUUCGAAUCCCUCUCCAUCCG
rfam:Triticum aestivum genome assembly, contig: Triticum_aestivum_CS42_TGACv1_scaffold_229765_3B